UGGGAAGUCGCCAAGUGGUGAAGGCACCGGGUUUUGAUCCCGGCAUUCGAAGGUUCGAGUCCUUCCUUCCCAG
rnacentral:tRNA from 1 species